AUAGCUUUAGGGCUAGCCUCAAGGUGAGAGAUACGGAGGUAGAGCACUGAAUGUCCUAGGGGGUAUUGCACCUACCGAAGACUAUCAAACUCCGAAUGCCGUCAUCUUAUACUUGGGAGUCAGACUGUGGGUGAUAAGAUUCAUAGUCGAAAGGGCAACAGCCCAGAUCGUCAGCUAAGGUCCCUAAAUGUAAGUUAAGUGGUAAAGGAUGUGGGAUUGCACAGACAACCAGGAUGUUGGCUUAGAAGCAGCCACUCAUUCAAAGAGUGCGUAAUAGCUCACUGGUCGAGUGAUACUGCGCCGAAGAUUUCCGGGGCUAAAAAUUACUACCGAAGCUACGGCAUCAGUAAUGAUGGGUAGGGGAGCUUCCCAUACGGGUUGAAGCAUGACCGUAAGGACAUGUGGACAGUAUGGGAGUGAGAAGGUUGGCAUGAGUAGCGAGAUGUGGGUGGGAACCCCACAGGCCGUAAAACCAAGGUUUACAGGGGAAGGGUCGUCCGCCCUGGGUGCGUAGGGCCCUAAGCUGGGGCCGAACGGCGUAGGUGAGGGCAAACAGGUUGAUAUUCCUGUACUACCGAU
rnacentral:rRNA from 1 species